rnacentral:misc_RNA from 1 species
CGACCCAAACGUUUAGCCCAGCAUAGAUGGAAGAGGAAAGGAAGUAUUCAUUUGCUAUUUUACCAAUUAAUAAGGGAACAAAAAGAAGGGAAGAAUCCUGAAUUGGGGAAAAACAGAGAGAGCAUCUACGACUAGAGAAAUAGGGGCGGGAGAAUCUGGGGGCACCAAAUCCAAUCUAGCAAUUGCUGAUCAAACUCCAUUUUCUCAUGCUUGUCCUCACCUUGAAGAAGCCAGCUGUUGUACCCUUUCACCACAGAACCCAAAAUCGAAGAAAUGGAGAGAAGAGUGUCGCUGCUGUCCAUCUCUUCACACGGCGUUUCUGAUGCCAAUGGUUAAUGUAAGCCAUUUUCUCCGUCCCUUAGCCACCAUAAAACCCUCUCAAGCCUCCAUUUGAGUCGAGAAUUGAAAUUGAAAGAAGAAUCAAAAGUUUUGGGGAAACAAAGUCUACGGGUAAUUCACGAGUGCAACAAAAAUUUCAACAGAGGAGGGUACCGCAGAGGUCAUUGGAACCCCAUUUACGCUACAAGUGCUAGCAGCUCUUUGGGUGUCAUGUGAGUAGUGUUGAGCAGCCCGUUUUCUUCAAUUUUUCCUGCCUUGAGGUUUAAGUUGGCAAAUUUCAUUUGGGUGGUGGAAAGCAAACUGGGCGAAGCUUCUCCAAUCAUCCAUGCCUGUCAAUUAAAGGCCUAAAAUUCCUAUUCCGAGACUUGCAUUGCUGUUCAGUCAAUGAGGUGAAGAAUACGAAAGGCCAUAAUUUUAGCAAUUUCUUGAUAUGAAGUUCAAAUCUUUAAUAAUUUAAUUGACCAUUAGUCUGCUUAAUUCUCACAUCAUAAGCUUUUCACCUUAAGACCUUGUAGACAGGCUGUGCAAGAGAUUUUAUUUCAAUUUGUAGAAUUCUAGUGUAAUAAACUCAUUCUUAUCUGUUAUAGGGAUUAAGGCACAAAAUAAGCUUAUUUCUAUAAAUGUUAUUUUCUUUAUUUUCAAUUUGUUUUUUGGUUUUCUAAAUAUUUGGACCUGGAAUAAGAUUUGUGAAUGUUGCUUUUUUUUUCUUUUUC